GCAGCUGCCUUGUUCCUUCCAUGUGAGGCAAAGCGAGAAGUGAACCACAGGCUUUUUGGACAGGAAUAGGGAGAGGGCAAGAUGUAUGGCAAGCAAGCUGAAGGACCAAGCCAGAAAGUAUCUUUUGAUACGGAAGCCAGAAGUUCUUCCAUUGUUGCUGCCUAUGUUCCUGCCCCCGAUUUCCCUCAUGAGGGACUGUAAUCAUGAUGUGUAAGCCAAAUAACUCCUUUCCUCUCCAGUUUAAACAACAACUACAACCAAAAAGUUCAGCUCUGUAGGCCCUGUUACAACAAAGGCCGCUCUCACGACAGAAAGUACAGGUGGCCAACUUCAGUGGCAGCUAGCUAUACAGUGCCAUCUCAGCGGGCACACAAGAUAAACAAGUCUUCAGGGCAUGGCUACCUUCACCUGAAAGCCAAAGAAUGGCCAAAGGUGUCUCAGGACCCAGAAAGGGAACAGUGAAGGCAUAGACUUAAUUAGAGCCACACAGCCCACUAGGACCAUGUCCAGUGGAGCCAUGCGCUCCAUGAGACCUCACAACAGAAGAGCCAUUAGCGUAUCACCCCAGUUUGAAAGCUACAGGCAUACAAUGUCAACAGAGCCACAAAAAUCAACCCUGGGUACAAGCCCACCAACCAAGAAGUUCUAGGUGUGACCUCUACUCCAGUGAACCCGAGAGGCAGAGCCUUGGGACAAAGAUUGUCAGGAUAAAGACUUUGGACCUUCUGAGAAUGCUUUACUCCGCCCCUUUCUACUUCUCCCUUUGGACUGGGAAUGUCCAGCUCUUGACUGUCCUGUAAGUGUAGUCAGGACACCUAUAACAUGUCUGGUUUCAUGGGUUCAUAGCUGGAAAGCCAUGCGCCCCAGGAUAAACAGCACCUCGAACUGUCUGUCAUCCAUGGCUGAUUAAGUGAUACUGAGAAAAGACCUCGGAUGGCUGGAAUGUGGGUCUGGAGUGCCUGUCACUGGACUGUUGCAAUCCUAACCUCAAGUGGAUGAUAGGAGGAGUAAUGGGUCUCUCCUGGGAAGUGACAGAGAGCAGAGACAUCAUCCAUAAGAUCAGUAGAUGAUCAAAGGCCUGGAGCCGCUUGGUCACUUCCACUGUGUGCCGACACAGUGCAAAAGGAACUGUUUGUACACUGUGAAUUAACUUCUCGCCAGCCAUGGAAUCUGACAGCACUGUGAUCUGAUGUCCCAGCUGACAAAUCCAUCAGAAAUAAAUUCCUGUUUCUAAGCCACUCAGCCUAUUGGAUUUGGUUAUAGCAGCCCAAAGUGAUGUAAGUCUUUCUCCCUGCUCCCUCCUCUGAAUGCUUGGCAGGAAGGAGGAUUGAACACAAGUCACCCCACUACCAACCUACACAGGGCUGUACCAUAGACAAGAAAUAAAAAUGUUUGUGUCAAACCAC
ensembl:processed_transcript